rnacentral:rRNA from 1 species
UGAUUCGUUCAUAGCAGCAUCAAAGCGCCUGUUCUCGUCCGCUCCCAGAAGCGAAGUAUGCUUGCGCACGACUAGUAAUGAGCUGAGGAAUCGCUUGUGAACUCCGUGUGACGAAUUGU